rnacentral:rRNA from 1 species
UACGUAGGGUGCAAGCGUUGUCCGGAAUUAUUGGGCGUAAAGAGCUCGUAGGCGGUUUGUCGCGUCUGCUGUGAAACUCGGGGACUUAACCCCGGGCCUCGGCAGUGGGUACGGGCAGACUAGAGUGCGGUAGGGGAGACUGGAAUUCCUGGUGUAGCGGUGAAAUGCGCAGAUAUCAGGAGGAACACCGGUGGCGAAGGCGGGUCUCUGGGCCGUAACUGACGCUGAGGAGCGAAAGCAUGGGGAGCGAACAGG